rnacentral:rRNA from 1 species
UACGUAGGUGGCAAGCGUUGUCCGGAUUUAUUGGGUUUAAAGGGUGCGUAGGCGGCCCUGUAAGUCAGUGGUGAAAUACUCUAGCUUAACUAGAGGGGUGCCAAUGAUACUGCAGGGCUUGAGUACAGAUGAGGUAGGCGGAAUUCGACGGUGUAGCGGUGAAAUGCAUAGAUAUCGUCAAGAACACCUAUAGCGAAGGCAGCUUACUGGGCUGUAACUGACGCUGAGGCACGAAAGUGUGGGGAUCAAACAGG